rnacentral:rRNA from 1 species
GGAAUAUUGGUCAAUGGGCGCAAGCCUGAACCAGCCAUGCCGCGUGCAGGAAGAAUGUCCUAUGGAUUGUAAACUGCUUUUAUUUGGGAAUAAACCUCUCCACGUGUGGAGGGCUGAAUGUACCAAACGAAUAAGGACCGGCUAACUCCGUUCCAGCAGCCGCGGUAAUACGGAGGGUCCAAGCGUUAUCCGGAAUCAUUGGGUUUAAAGGGUCCGCAGGCGGAUCAGUAAGUCAGUGGUGAAAGCCCAUAGCUUAACUAUGGAACUGCCAUUGAUACUGUUGAUCUUGAAUUCGGUCGAAGUGGGCGGAAUAUGUCAUGUAGCGGUGAAAUGCUUAGAUAUGACAUAGAACACCGAUAGCGAAGGCAGCUCACUAGGCCUGGAUUGACGCUCAGGGACGAAAGCGUGGGGAGCG